rnacentral:rRNA from 1 species
CCUACGGGAGGCAGCAGUAAGGAAUAUUGGUCAAUGGACGAAAGUCUGAACCAGCCAUGCCGCGUGAAGGAUUAAGGCCCUCUGGGUUGUAAACUUCUUUUAUCUGGGACGAAAAAAGGGUAUUCUUACUCACUUGACGGUACCAGAGGAAUAAGCACCGGCUAACUCCGUGCCAGCAGCCGCGGUAAUACGGAGGGUGCAAGCGUUAUCCGGAUUUACUGGGUUUAAAGGGUGCGUAGGUGGGCUUGUAAGUCAGUGGUGAAAUCUCCGGGCUUAACCCGGAAACUGCCAUUGAUACUAUAGGUCUUGAAUUAUCUGGAGGUAAGCGGAAUAUGUCAUGUAGCGGUGAAAUGCUUAGAUAUGACAUAGAACACCAAUUGCGAAGGCAGCUUACUACGGAUAUAUUGACACUGAGGCACGAAAGCGUGGGGAUCAAACAGGAUUAGAUACCCUGGUAGUCCACGCCCUAAACGAUGGAUACUCGACAUCAGCGAUACACUGUUGGUGUCUGAGCGAAAGCAUUAAGUAUCCACCUGGGAAGUACGAUCGCAAGAUUGAAACUCAAAUGAAUUGACGG